UGAGGUGAUGAUGACACUAUUUCUAAAGA
rnacentral:piRNA from 1 species